rnacentral:lncRNA from 13 species
GUCAGUGCGGUAGGCUGUGGUUAGAGUUACUUGUUAUUGGUAAAUAGCCACUAUGGAGGCUAAGGACCAGAAGAAACAGAAAGAAAAACAGUGGGCCCAAAGCUGAAAAGAAAAAGAAGCGGCAUCUGCGGGAUAUCCAACUAGGAGAAGAAGAAGAUGCCUGGAAGAGAAAUCCCAAAGCUUUUGCAGUUCAGUCUACUGUGCGGAUGGCUUGAUCCUUUCACUGGUCUAGUCCAGCUCCAAAGGACAUAGAGAUGCAUGCUGUGUGGCUUUCACUAAAACGUGGGAAACCUUCCCCAUAGAAGCUGCCUUGCCUUCAGCAUCUGCACACUGGUUGGUGUUUCUUGCUCAAGAUAAAAGAAUUCAUAGAAUCUGCUUAUUCCUAAGCUUUAAACUGUUUCUAUGGUGAUAAGUGUGCUUUUUCCCUAUAGAUAUGUUUUACAUAGUUGUAACAUAAAAUACAAAAAUUACAAUAUUUAAUACUAACAUAGCUUUAUUUAGUGAGUCCUUGUGAUAUGCCUCACAGUGUACUUUAAACGUUUUUCAACUAAAUGCUUCCAGCAGCCUUACCAGAGUAGGAAU